AACACAGCUCUUGUUGUUAACUGCCUUUUUAGUCCCUUACCAGUGUUUCACUAAAGUCCGUGUACUUUGGACUCAUUUCAAGUUGACAUUUGAAGCUUUAACUUUGUAUGAUUCUAAAUAUGUGUCAAUGCUGUCGGUUGAAUUUUGAAAUAUGAAGUUUUUCAUUUUUUGUAGAUUAAAUAAUUUGUAAAAUGUUGCAGUUUAGUCAAUCAGUUUUAUAAGAUAUUGAGCUUUAGUUAUGAUGCAGAUUGUAAGAUUCUUAAUAUCUUUCAAUAUUGUGGAUAAGUUUUUGAGAUAUCAAGCUUUGAAUUUUAUGCAAAUUGUAUGAUUUAAAAUGUUUUAAUUUGUUGAUCAGUGUACUGAAGAUUGUAUACUUUUUAUAUGUUAUAAUUCUGUCUAUUGGUUUUCAAAAUGAAAGACUUUGAUUUUGUAAGUGCACUUUUAUCUCAUUAUGCCCCCCUUCGAAGAAGAUGGGGUAUAUUGCUUUGCUCAUGUCGGUCGGUCUGUCGGUAUGUCAGUCUGUCGGUCCGUCCACCAGGUGGUUGUCAGACGAUAACUCAAGAACGCUUGGGCCUAGGAUCAUGAAACUUCAUAGGUACAUUGAUCAUGACUCGCAGAUGACCCCUAUUGAUUUUGAGGUCACUAGGUCAAAGGUCAAGGUCACGGUGACCCAAAAUAGUAAAAUGGUUUCCGGAUGAUAACUCAAAAAUUCAUACGCCUAGGAUCAUGAAACUUCAUGGCUAGAUUGAUCAUGACUCGCAGAUGACCCCUAUUGAUUUUGAGGUCACUAGGUCAAAGGUCAAGGUCACGGUGACCCGAAAUAGUAAAAUGGUUUUCGGAUGAUAACUCAAGAACGCAUAUGCCUAGGAUCAUGAAACUUCACAGGUAGAUUGAUCAUUGCUCACAGAUGACCCUUAUUGAUUUUAAGGUCACAAGGUCAAGGUCACGGUGACCCGAAAUAGUAAAAUGAUUUUCGGAUGAUAACUCAAGAACGCUUUUGCCUAGGAUCAUGACACUUCAUAGGUACAUUGAUCGUGACUCACAGAUGACCCCUAUUGAUUUUCAGGUCACUAGGUCAAAGGUCAAGGUCACAGUGACAAAAAACGUAUUCACACAAUGGCUGCCACUACAACGGACAGCCCAUAUGGGGGGCAUGCAUGUUUUACAAACAGCCCUUGUUAAAGAUUCUUUUCUAGUGUUUAGUUUAUAUUUUAAGGCUGUUUGCAAACUCGAAGUGAAAACAGCUCUAGUACAAUUUGGUAAGGACAUGACAUUGCAUAUCUGAUUUAAAAAUGUACUUUGCUGGCAACGUGUAAUUUUCAGAAAUGUCUUAGUAAGUAAGACUGUUGUUUGCAAUCAAAAGGUAUGUGCUUCAAAUCCAGGAAAAUGCAUGUUUUUUGUCCAAAUUUAUGUCAAUUCAGACAUUGUUCUGUGUAAAUAUGGGGUUUGCUUGUAGGAUCAGUCUAUUUUUAUGUCCCCCACUAUAGUAGUGGGGGACAUGUUGUUUUUGCUCUGUCGGUCUGUUUAUUGGUUGGUUGGUCUGUUUAUGCCAACUUUAACAUUUUGCAAUAACUUGCAAUAUUGAAAGUAGCAACUUGAUAUUUGGCAUGCAAAUGCAUCUCCUGAAGCUGCACAUUAUCAUUGGUGAAAGGUCAAGGUCAUCCUUCAAGGUCAGAGGUCAAAUAUAUGUGCCCUUAAUCGCUCAUUUUAUGAAUACUUUUGCAAUAUUGUAGAUAGCAACUUGAUAUUUUGCAAGCAUGUGUAUCUCAUUGAGCUGCACAUUUUGAGUGUUGAAAGGUCAAGGUCAUCCUUCAAGGUCAGAGGUCAAAUAUAUGUGGCCCAAAUCGCUUAUUUUAUUAAUACUUUUGCAAUAUUGAAGAUAGCAACUUGAAAUUUGGCAUGCAUGUGUAUCUCAUGGAGCUGCAAAUUUUGAGUGUUGAAAGGUCAAAGUCAUCCUUCAAGGUCAGAGGUUAAAUAUAUGUGGCCCAAAUCGCUUAUUUUAUGAAUACGUUUGCACUAUUGAAGAUAGCAACUUGAUAUUUGGCAUGCAUAUGUAUCUCAUAGAGCUGCACAUUUUGAGUGGUGAAAGGUCAAGGUCAUCCUUCAAGGUCAAAUAUAUGGGUCAAAAUUGCUCAUGUUAUGUUACUUCUGCAAUAUUGAAGCUAGCAAUUUUAUAUUUGACAUGCAUGUGUAUCUCAUGGAGCUGCACAUUUUGAGUGGUGAAGGGUCAAGGUCAUCCUUCAAGGUCAAACGUUAUAUACGGGGACAUUGGGUUUCACAAACGCAUCUUGUUGUGUAUGUAAUUAAUUUUGCUUAAUUUUUGUGAUCCCCCGCCAACAGCGGAGGGAUAUUAAUUUGGCAUUGUCCGUCUUUCCGUCUGUCCGUCCGGCACUUUUGUGUCCGGAACCAUAUUUUGGAAGUGCUUUGGCAGAUUUCAUUGAAACUUGGUAUGAGUAUAUAUAUAUAUGGAUAAGAGGAUGAUGCACGCCAAAUGGCAUUGUACAUCCUUGAAUAAUAGCGGAGUUAUGACCCUUUGUAUUUGAAAAAAAUGCUUUUUUUGUGUGUCCAGAGCCAUAACUUGUAUCCAGAAGUAUAAUGGCGGGGGAUAUCAAUUCAACGAAUUUGCUUGUUAAAUCAGUUUUUAUUUUCAUGAUAAUCAUUUAGUUCGUAUUGCAACUUAUGAUGGAUUGUUACUACUAUCUCCAAUUAUUUGUUUGUCAUGGGUCCGUCACCAUUUAUCUCUUAUAUAAUACUUGAAUUGAGCAUUUCACAAUCUGACAAUCAUGCAUAUCAUUUAUUAGUUUCAUAAUAAAACGUCUGACAAGGGUCAGAUAAUUUUAA